rnacentral:rRNA from 1 species
UGGGGAAUUUUGGACAAUGGGCGAAAGCCUGAUCCAGCAAUGCCGCGUGUGUGAAGAAGGCCUUCGGGUUGUAAAGCACUUUUGUCCGGAAAGAAAUCCUUGGCUCUAAUACAGUCGGGGGAUGACGGUACCGGAAGAAUAAGCACCGGCUAACUACGUGCCAGCAGCCGCGGUAAUACGUAGGGUGCAAGCGUUAAUCGGAAUUACUGGGCGUAAAGCGUGCGCAGGCGGUUUGCUAAGACCGAUGUGAAAUCCCCGGGCUCAACCUGGGAACUGCAUUGGUGACUGGCAGGCUAGAGUAUGGCAGAGGGGGGUAGAAUUCCACGUGUAGCAGUGAAAUGCGUAGAGAUGUGGAGGAAUACCGAUGGCGAAGGCAGCCCCCUGGGCCAAUACUGACGCUCAUGCACGAAAGCGUGGGGAGCAAACAGGAUUAGAUACCCUGGUAGUCACGCCCUAAAACGAUGUCAACUAGUUGUUGGGGAUUCAUUUCCUUAGUAACGUAGCUAACGCGUGAAGUUGACCGCCUGGGGAGUACGGUCGCAAGAUUAAAAACUUAAAUGAAUUGAC